rnacentral:rRNA from 1 species
GUGCCUAUACAUGCAAGUCGAACGAACUCUGGUAUUGAUUGGUGCUUGCAUCAUGAUUUACAUUUGAGUGAGUGGCGAACUGGUGAGUAACACGUGGGAAACCUGCCCAGAAGAGGGGGAUAACACCUGGAAACAGAUGCUAAUACCGCAUAACAACUUGGACCGCAUGGUCCGAGUUUGAAAGAUGGCUUCGGCUAUCACUUUUGGAUGGUCCCGCGGCGUAUUAGCUAGAUGGUGAGGUAACGGCUCACCAUGGCAAUGAUACGUAGCCGACCUGAGAGGGUAAUCGGCCACAUUGGGACUGAGACACGGCCCAAACUCCUACGGGAGGCAGCAGUAGGGAAUCUUCCACAAUGGACGAAAGUCUGAUGGAGCAACGCCGCGUGAGUGAAGAAGGGUUUCGGCUCGUAAAACUCUGUUGUUAAAGAAGAACAUAUCUGAGAGUAACUGUUCAGGUAUUGACGGUAUUUAACCAGAAAGCCACGGCUAACUACGUGCCAGCAGCCGCGGUAAUACGUAGGUGGCAAGCGUUGUCCGGAUUUAUUGGGCGUAAAGCGAGCGCAGGCGGUUUUUUAAGUCUGAUGUGAAAGCCUUCGGCUCAACCGAAGAAGUGCAUCGGAAACUGGGAAACUUGAGUGCAGAAGAGGACAGUGGAACUCCAUGUGUAGCGGUGAAAUGCGUAGAUAUAUGGAAGAACACCAGUGGCGAAGGCGGCUGUCUGGUCUGUAACUGACGCUGAGGCUCGAAAGUAUGGGUAGCAAACAGGAUUAGAUACCCUGGUAGUCCAUACCGUAAACGAUGAAUGCUAAGUGUUGGAGGGUUUCCGCCCUUCAGUGCUGCAGCUAACGCAUUAAGCAUUCCGCCUGGGGAGUACGGCCGCAAGGCUGAAACUCAAAGGAAUUGACGGGGGCCCGCACAAGCGGUGGAGCAUGUGGUUUAAUUCGAAGCUACGCGAAGAACCUUACCAGGUCUUGACAUACUAUGCAAAUCUAAGAGAUUAGACGUUCCCUUCGGGGACAUGGAUACAGGUGGUGCAUGGUUGUCGUCAGCUCGUGUCGUGAGAUGUUGGGUUAAGUCCCGCAACGAGCGCAACCCUUAUUAUCAGUUGCCAGCAUUAAGUUGGGCACUCUGGUGAGACUGCCGGUGACAAACCGGAGGAAGGUGGGGAUGACGUCAAAUCAUCAUGCCCCUUAUGACCUGGGCUACACACGUGCUACAAUGGAUGGUACAACGAGUUGCGAACUCGCGAGAGUAAGCUAAUCUCUUAAAGCCAUUCUCAGUUCGGAUUGUAGGCUGCAACUCGCCUACAUGAAGUCGGAAUCGCUAGUAAUCGCGGAUCAGCAUGCCGCGGUGAAUACGUUCCCGGGCCUUGUACACACCGCCCGUCACACCAUGAGAGUUUGUAACACCCAAAGUCGGUGGGGUAACCUUUUAGGAACCAGCCGCCUA